rnacentral:lncRNA from 1 species
UCAUAUUCAAUCUUUCUCUCAUCUUCAUCGCCCAGAUCCAAAUUUCUCUCUCACCUUCAUCGCCCAGAUCGAAGAAGUAUUCUCCAAAAGAUUGUCAAGUUCAGAAGUUUACAUCGAAUACUCAUCUGGAUUUUUUUUUGUAUUGAAUGUGUAAGGAGAUGUCGUUAACGAGAAAAGUGGAGAUGGAAGGUCGAUAAGGAUGAUUCACGUAU